rnacentral:rRNA from 1 species
GGGGACAAAGUGACAGGUGGUGCAUGGUUGUCGUCAGCUCGUGUCGUGAGAUGUUGGGUUAAGUCCCGCAACGAGCGCAACCCUUAAGCUUAGUUGCCAUCAUUAAGUUGGGCACUCUAAGUUGACUGCCGGUGACAAACCGGAGGAAGGUGGGGAUGACGUCAAAUCAUCAUGCCCCUUAUGAUUUGGGCUACACACGUGCUACAAUGGACAAUACAAAGGGCAGCGAAACCGCGAGGUCAAGCAAAUCCCAUAAAGUUGUUCUCAGUUCGGAUUGUAGUCUGCAACUCGACUACAUGAAGCUGGAAUCGCUAGUAAUCGUAGAUCAGCAUGCUACGGUGAAUACGUUCCCGGGUCUUGUACACACCGCCCGUCACACCACGAGAGUUUGUAACACCCGAAGCCGGUGGAGUAACCUUUUAGGAGCUAGCCGUCGAAGGUGGGACAAAUGAUUGGGGUGAAGUCGUAACAAGGUAGCCGUAUCGGAAGGUGCGGCUGGAUCACCUCCUUU